AUAAGAAAAGCUGAACAGAGCGACACUACAACCACCUCCUCCACCUGCUGCCAGACCGUCUGCUGAAGCUCUGAAGGCUUGAAGGUGUGAUCACUGCAACCAUGCUGAAGGUAGCACUUGUGCUCGGAUGCCUCCUGAGCCUCGCUCUGGCUCAUCCUACGGAGACUGAACACCAGCGGUUCGCUCGCUCAGACUCCAACUCUGGCUCCGAUGAGGUGACCACCACCACUGCGACUACAACUACAGCUGCAGGUGCAACAACAACUACAGCUGCAGCAACAUUGCAGAUUCAACAGAUUCUCCAGCUCCUUCUGACCCUCUUACAGCGUUAAUAAACGACCACUGCAGCGCUGCUACAGUUUGUCAGUUUGUCAAGAAGCUGCUUCUCUCUCUUUUCUCUUUUCAAACGUCAGAUGUCUGACUGUCCAAACCUUCUCUCUGCUAAAUAAACUGCAUGAAUGCAAAACAUGGA